rnacentral:piRNA from 1 species
UGCUAGAUUACAUUGUACUAGCUUUGUUGC